rnacentral:lncRNA from 1 species
GCAAAAUUUGGUGUUGGGUUGGAGCAAUUUUGCACCAAAAAAUAGUGCAAAAUGGUGCAAUGGUGUUGUGGUUGGAGAUGGCCUUAUUUACAUUACAGAACAGGAAUUUCGGAUUUGAUCUUGCAAUAAUUCGCCUUUGGCCUAUAUAUCAUCGUUGUUUAUCCUUUGCCAGGAAAGAAAGGGGAAAAGGAGAAAGAUACAAAUAACCCUUUCUCUCAGGGGACCUGUAGCCAUAGUCAUCAAUUCCAGAGCAUUCCUCCACAAACAAAAUCAAAUGUAAAUGUUACAAUUGUAACAGAAUUCUUUCCUGCAGAAAACCAAUUUCUUUCAUGUCCGAAUCCUUUUCCUUAUGAUAUCAGACAUAUAUUGAUUCAACCAUUGUCGUGGCUCCCGAAUUGAUGAAUUCUUGGAGGACCUUUUUUUGGUAGAUUGGAAUAGCGAAAAAGAAUUCAUAUUCACGAAUUUAGUGGGAAAAAGAUUUAUUGUAUCCGUUGUUUGUAGAAUGUCUUGAAAGAAGAAUACUGUGUAUAUGUUAGCGUUAUUUGCUUUGCCAUCUGUAUUCUCCUGAUGCAAUUGCAGCCUAAGAGAAUUCGUGAUCACGAAUUUAUUAGGAAAAAUACUUAGUUUAUCGAUGGUGUUUGUAGAAUGUCCGGAAAGAGGAAUAUUGUGUAUACGUUGGCUUUCUUCGCCCUGUCUUCUUUAUUGUCCUGAUGCAAUUGCUUUGGCAGCCAAAAAAAAAUCUAGUUAAUUCUUGUUUCCUUCAUCGAGGUUGCUCCUUAACAUUUAACCGUUAAGGACAUCAAUUCCAUUUCUCUUUUGAUUGGAAGAGGAACAGGAUUACAAGAAUGGCUUAUCGUAUAAACAUGAGGGCAAAUUCAUUAUCCUCUUCCCAACCUCCUUUGGCUCAGAAAUUAACAAAUGAUCCUGUAACUCAGAAAACCGCGAGCAACACUGUCACAUGUUUUUACCAGACACAUAUUGGAGGUUACUGGCGAUAUGUGACUGUAUUAUGGAGCAAGGAUUUGUCUAGUCAUUUUCUGAGCAUAUCUGUUGCAACCAUGGAAAGUGAUUAUCAUCAGACGUGCAAAAUUGACCUUAAACCUUGGCAGUUUUGGGCAAAGAAAGGGUGCAAAACCUUUCAGGUUGAUGGGAAUCAAUUGGAUGUCUAUUGGGAUUUUCGUUCGGCAAAAUAUUCUGGUAGUCCAGAACCCUGUUCAGAUUUUUACGUUGCAUUAGUUUCUGAUGAAGAAAUGGCGUUAUUGUUGGGGGAUUACACCGAAAAGGCCUAUAAGAGAACAAAAUCAGAAGCAGCCCUGGUUGAUGCAAUGUUGGUUUACAAAGAAGAGCACGUAUUUGGGAAGAAAUCUUUCUCCACCAGAGCGAAAUUUGACCAUAGGAAAAAGGAGCAUGACAUUGUUGUAGAGAGCUCGACUUCAGGGCCUAGAGAACCCGAAAUGUGGAUUAGCAUAGAUGGGAUUGUGUUGAUACAUAUUCGGAACUUGCAGUGGAAAUUCAGGGGGAAUCAGACAAUCUUAGUUAAUAAACAACCGGUUCAAGUCUUUUGGGAUGUAUAUGCUUGGCUAUUUUGCGUCCCAGGCUCAAACCACGCAUUGUUUAUCUUCAAGCCAGGUGCACCAGAGGUGGAAAGUGACAAAGAUGAAAGCUUCAGUCAUGGCGAUGGAAGUGACUGCAGUGGGGAUAGCAAGUAUUAUUCCACGAUAAGCUAUUCACAGGCUUCAAGGUUCUGUCUUUUCCUCUAUGCAUGGAAGAUCGAGUAAGAGAUCAUGUCUAUAAAUUCAGAAGAAUUUGUUGUUCUAAAACUAUUCACUGCAGUAAAUUUUUAUAAUGAUAAAACUCCUACAUUCUUGUUGAUUAUACAAUCAUAUUGCGAAAAUUAAUUUCUUCCAGAAAUGUUGAUUAUUGUCCGCAAUUUGGUUCUGAUUGAUCUGCAUUUAUGGAAAUACUGAAAAAGAAAAAUGAACACAACUUACAAACUCUCAAAUGUUUAUCAUAGAUAUUUGCUCAUAUGAAUUUAGAGUUCUUAGAUGUUUGGUUUUCUAUAUCCACGUGUUCUUGAUGUAUUUCUAUCAGUGGUUUGUGGGCAUUGCAUUCUUAGUUGUAAAUUCACAUCAAAGGGGACAUUUUAUGCGUUUAUAAUUUGUAAUAAACAUAAUUUUGUAAUGAAAUUUCGGCAUUAUAUAUAAUUCAAAAAGAUUGUAGGCUCGUUCAAGUCCAUCUUGGGACAGCCUGCAGAUCGAGACUGAUUCCCCAAAAAUGUGGGGAACCAGGUCCGGCCAGGCCUGCCAAAAAACCCGGGUCAACCAGUUCAUGAGCAAGUCAAACUGACCGAGCCAUCCGAACUAACACCACUACAUGCGAAACAUGAGUAUCGCAUAGAUAAUUUAUUUUGUUCAAAUAUAUGCCAAAAUGCUUUCCACGUGCAUGAGCAAAUAAUAAUGAUUGAGUUCACGUCUAAAAAUGACGAUCCUUCUAAAAGUGUCGAGAAAUUCUAUGCUAAAUUAUAUUGAAAAAUGUUUUAAUAACUUUAUUGACGUUUCGAGCAAUACUAUGAAUAUUUAAUUUAAUAUUUAUGAAUUAAGCUGCUUAAAACACUCAACUAUAUAUAAUCCAAUGUAAGCCAGCCAAAAAAUUCUUAUGAUCUUCUAACGAUUCAAAAUUCAAAAUUUAAGCUCUCAAAUUGGCUCUAUAGAGGAGAUAAUAAGUUCAGGUUCUUUCAGAAAGAACUCAAUCUUCUUCAAGAGAAAUACGGUCAAGGACAUACAUGAACGUGGAAAAGUAUAAAAAAAAAAGUGGAAAUACUGCUUAAUGUCUAUGGAGCUUAGGAAUCCAUGGAUUUGUUGGCCAGCACGACAAUGUAAAGUAAAUUAUCAUGGAUUAUCAAUUGCCAUCAACAAAGAAGUUGAUGGCGAAAUUUUGAUGAUCUUAUAGAGAAUUGAAAUUCAAAUUUUAAGCCCUCGAAUUGGUUCUCUAGAGUAAUUGGAUUAGGUUCUAGUUCUUCCGGAUAGAACUCAACCUUCUGGGGGAGAAAUACGGUUGAAGAAAUACAUGAAUGUGGAAACUGUAUAAGAUAAAGUGGAAAUGCUGUUUAAUGUCUAUGCAUUCCACAAAAUCCAUGGAUUUGUAGGCCAGCUCGACAAUUUAUUGUAAGUUAUCCAUGGUUAUGAAUUGCCAUCAACAAAGAAGUUCGAGUCAUCUAUUGUUUUCCCAAUAUGCUGCUGAAGUCUCUCAUACAUACAUUGAGAAAAAUAUACUGAAGGCCUAUCAAUGCACUGGUUCUACACCUCUUUGGUGGAAGAAUAUUAUCUCAGGGAGGUUUGCUAUUCUUUGGCAUCUGCUGCCUUUCUCCCUAUGCUUAUUUGCUUGUAGUUAUGACAUUACAUUACAUUGUAAUUUAUAAAUUGGUCGCUGAAUUAUUACUUAAGUGGAUUGGAAUUUAUGGGAAUAGUUGUAUCGCCAACAUUUUGUCCAAGUAUUAGGUCUUGUUGCCUGGACGGAACAUGGUGUCAAAAGCAAUUAAUAGAUACUAUGAUUUAUCUGUAUCUUGAUUAUAUACGGCCUCAACUUAUCAAUAUUUAAAGACUCAGUGACCACUGUACGCAUCUUUAGUUAUGUCAAAAUGCACUUGUAAUACGUAAGUUUUGAGGCUGCAUGUAUUUGUGAAGAAUAGUAUAACAAAUUCCUUGACGAACUUUUUACCAAAGAAUUAUAUGAAUAGAUUUAUUAGCAAGUUUCAAAUUCUUGGUAGGUUUGCUACGUGAUUAUAAAUGUUUGGUAAAACCUAGGAAAGGAAUAAGCUUUCUCAACCAAUUAACGGUGUUGGAAACAAAUUAAAGAUGAGGGCUGAGUUCCAAUGUAUGAACUAGCCUAGUGUUGUUAUCCAUAAAUAAGUCUACUGUCCAGUCGCAAUCAAGUAAAUUUCCCUAAGCAUCCUGAUUUCAGGCAGUUGACUUUCAUAUAUUCCCUGAUGACAAUGAAGUACAAAUGUAUGUAAAUUAAGAUUGACCGAGUUGCUUGAAUUAUUCUUUUCUGUAGUUGUUAUUAAAGUAAUGCAGCAUGUUCAGAUGUAUAUAAGAUGAGUUACCCACCUAUAUGCACUGGGCAGAAUCUGCAUUCUGUGGAUUAAGAUGUAGAAAUAUUGUUUCCUAGGACUGAUUAUUGGUUUGGCUCUUACAGGAACUUUGAUUCAUGGAUGGUAUGAUCAAUCUAUUUUCUUUUAUUCAAAUUUUGACAUUCAAAGAUGAGGGUUUAGUUCUGAUGUAUGAAGAAGCCUAGCUUGUCAUCCAUAAAUAAGUGAACUGUCCUGUCGCAAUCCAGUAAAGUUCCCUAAGCAUCCUGAUUUCCGGAAGUUGACUUUCAUAUAUACCUGUUGACAAUGAAGUAUAGAUGUAUAAAAAUUAUGAUCGACCCCAUUGCUUGAAUUAUUCUUUUCCGUAGUUGUUUUUAAAGUAAUUCAGCAUGAUCAGAUGUAUAUAAGAUGAUUUACCCACAUAUACGCACUGGGCAGUAUCUGUGUUGUGGAUUAAAAUGUGGAAUUAUUGUUUCCUAGGACUGAUUGUUGGUUCUGCUCUUAUGGGAACUUUGAUUCAUGGACGGGAUGAUCAAUCUAUUUUCUUUUACUCAAAUUUUGACAGUUGAAGCUGAGGGCUUAGUUCCAACGUAUGAAGAAGCAUUGUGUUGUCAUCCAUAAAUAAGUCUACUGCCCAGUCGCAAUCAAGUAAGGUUCCCUUAGCAAUCCUGAUUAUAGGCAUUUGACUUUCAUAAAUACCCUGUUGACAAUGAAGUGCAAAUGUAUGAAUUAUGAUUGAUAGAGUUGCUUGAAAUUAUUCUUUUUUCUUAGUUGCUGUUAAAGUAAUGCAGUCUGAUCGGAUGUAUAUAAGAUGAGUUACCCACAUAUAUGCACAAGACCGAAUCUGCAUUGCGUGGAUUAAGAUGUGGAAAUAUUGUUUCCUAGGACUGAUUGUUGGUUGUGCUCUUACAGGAACUUUGAUUCAUGGACAAGAUGAUCAAUUAGGUGUUCAAAUUUGAAUAUUCGAAAAAUCUAGUUUCUUUAGAAGUUUUAUAGAUGAUUUUGUUGCUGAUGCUUCUCUCUCUCUCUCUUCAUUUGUCUCAGAAUUCAUUAGUAUAGACUGUGGAAUAGCCGAUGGAUCCCUUUACAUUGAUCCAAUAACUGGCAUAAUAUAUAGUUCAGAUGCAGGCUUUGUAGACAGUGGUGCAAACAAGAGCAUAUCAGUUACAUUUCAGAACAAUUCCCUUGAAAGGCAGUUCUAAUAUCUUAGAAGCUUUCCUCAAGGAACCCGAAACUGCUAUACGCUAAGACCUGCUCAAGGCAAGGGUAACAAUUAUUUGAUAAGAAUAAGUUUUAUGUAUGGAAAUUACGAUUCCAGGGGUGAAUUGCCAACAUUUGAUCUGUAUCUAGGAGUUGAUUUAUGGGACACAGUUACGUUGAAAAAUGAAUCCACUCUACUAAGGAAGGAUAUUAUACACAUCCCUGCAUCAGAUUAUAUUAACGUUUGUAUUGUAAAAUCGGGAUUAACGACCCCCUUUAUAUCAGCUUUAGAAUUGAGGCCAUUGACUAUUAUCAUAUACCCAACAGUGAAUAAAUCUCUACAACUCAUUGACCGGGUGAAUUUUGCCCCAUCUUCCGACAAAUUAAUCAGUUGAGUCAUGCUGCUUGUGUUAUGCUUGAAUUCCUCUUGUUCAAAUAUUUAGUUCAGUAUUUUUUUUGUAUUCAUUUGUUUACUGCCAUCAGCACUAAGACAUGAUCAACCUUGCUUAGGUACAAAGAUGAUGUUUAUGAUCGUAUAUGGAGGCCCUGGACCUUGAUCAACAGUAUUGUAUUUACAAUAUAUCCCAUAUAUAACAGUGCAGACUAUUUUAAGCCACCUUCUGCUGUCUUGACAACUGCCGUCUAAAAAUGCUAACUACUCUGUUUCCUUCUACUGGGAGUCUAAUAAUCUCAAUGUUAUACUUUACAUGUAUUUUUACUUUGCUGAAUUACAAGAACUACAAGCAAACAAAAACAGAGAAUUCAGCAUCUCUGUGAACGGAAUUAUCUAGCAUGAGAAACUCUCCAUAUUAUCUAUCUUCAUAUACAAUAUACACCACCUACUUGUUUUAGUGUGACUGGUCGUUCCAAGUAUGUAGUCACACUAAAUAAAAACUGCAAAUUCAACUCUCCCACCAAUCAUUAGUGCUGCAGAAGUGUAUGCCUUGGAAAGAUUUUUCGAACUCAGAGACAGAAGAUAAUGAUGGUACGUCAAUUUAUUUUCUAUUUUGGAUUUCGAGUCCAUAAAUACGAACAAUUUACUGUUCUUCUCUGAGCUCCUCCUGUAUUAUUGACCAAUAACUUAUUGGCAAAGUUUACAUACUCAGAGGUCAUGAAAAUCACAAAUAACUGCCAGAAAGUUAUGGACAAAGGUGGAUUUUGUACAGUAUAUCAUGGCUUUGUAGGUGACACUCAAGUUGCUGUAAAGAUGCUCUCCCCUUCAUCAAGUCAAGGACACAGAUAAUUUCUUUUGGAGGUCCUUAUCUAAAUUGCACUGUGCUACAAUAUAUGUACUAGAUAAAUAUAUGUACCAGUAAUUUGUCCUGGGAACCUUUUAGCCCAACCACCUCUAUUUGUAUAUCUGAU